GCUGGCAGACUGUAACGUCACGAGGGUUGCUCGUGCCCCGCCCAGGUUGUUCUCGCGAGACCGGAGACUCAGGGCGCUCGCGCGCUGCUGACGGUUGCUUACAGAAGAGGAGAGUGGUCGGACUCGUAGACUACAGGGAGUGAAAGAGAUAUCCUUUGUUGAAGAAAGAGCAAUGCACAUGGGAGAGCCAAUCACAGGAGGCAUCUAUGUGCAGCAACCAAUCAGCAGCUACUGAGCCUAUCUAGAUAUGCUUUUCAGCUAAGAAUAUCAAGAGAAGGAAGCAAAUUAGAUAAUAGAAGUAAAUUAGAAAGUUGUUUAAAAGUGCAUGCUCUUUCUAAAUCAUGAAAGAAAAAAAUUAGGUUUCAAGUUCCUUUAAAUAAGUCAUCACACACCUGCCAUAAUUUAAAGUGCCUCUGAUUAACCCUGAAUAAAGUUCAGCUGUUCUAGUAGGUCUUUCCUGACAUUUUUUUAGUUGCGUCCUACACAAAAGCCAUGGUCCACAGAGAGCUUCCAAAGCAUCAGAGGGAUCUCAUUGUUAAAAGGUAUCAGUCAGGAGAAGGGUACAAAUGAAUUUCCAAGGCAUUAGAUAUACCAUGGAACACAGUGAAGCCAUUCAUCAUAAAGUGGAGAACAUAUGGCACAACAGUGACAUUACCAAGAACUGGAUGUCCCUCCAAAAUUGAUGAAAAGACGAGAAGAAAACUGGUCUGGGAGGCUACCAAGAGGCCUACAGCAACAUUAAAGGAGCUGCAGGAAUAUCUGGCAAGUACUGGCUGUGUAGUACAUGUGACUACAAUCUCCCGUAUUCUUCAUAUGUUUGGGCUUUGCGGUAGACGGCAAGACGGAAGCCUUUUCUUACGAAGAAAAACAUCCAAGCCCAGCUAAAUUUAGCAAAAACACAUCUGAAGUGUCCCAAAAGCAUGUGAGAAAAGGUGUUAUGGUCUGAUGAAACCAAGGUUGAACUUUUUGGCAAUAAUUCCAAAAGAUAUGUUUGGCGCAAAAACAACACUGCACAUCACCAAAAGAACACCAUACCCACAGUGAAGCAUGGUGGUGGUAGCAGCAUGCUUUGGGGCUGUUUUUCUUCAGCUUGAACUGGGGCCUUAUUCAAGGUUGAGGGAAUUAUGAACAGUUCCAAAUACCAGUCAAUAUUGGCACAAGACCUUCAGGCUUCUGCUAGAAAGCUGAACAUGAAGAGGAACUUCAUCUUUCAGCAUGACUCAGCACGACCCAAAGCAUACAUCCAAAUCCACAAAGGAAUGGCUUCAACAGAAGAAGAUUAAAGUUUUGGAAUGGCCCAGCCAGAGCCCAGAACUGAAUCCAAUCGAAAAUCAGUGGGGUGAUCUGAAGAGGACUGUGCACAGGAGAUGCCCUCGCAAUCUGACAUAUUUGGAGUGUUUUUUCAAAGAAGAGUGGGCAAAUCUUGCCAAGUCAAGUUGUGCCAUGCUGAUAGACUCAUACCCAAAAAGACUGAGUGCUGUAAUAAAAUCAAAAGUUGCUUCAACAAAGUAUUAGUUUAAGGGUGUGCACACUUAUACAACCAUAAUAUUUUAUUUUUUUAUUUUUACUUCCCUUCACUUAAAAGAUUUCAGUUUGUUUUUCAAUUGAGUUGCAUAGUUUAUAGGUCACAUUAAAGGUGGAAAAAGUUCUGAAAUGA